GAUGAACGCUGGCGGCGUGCCUAAUACAUGCAAGUCGAGCGAACGGACGAGAAGCUUGCUUCUCUGAUGUUAGCGGCGGACGGGUGAGUAACACGUGGAUAACCUACCUAUAAGACUGGGAUAACUUCGGGAAACCGUAGCUAAUACCGGAUAAUAUUUUGAACCGCAUGGUUCAAAAGUGAAAGACGGUCUUGCUGUCACUUAUAGAUGGAUCCGCGCUGCAUUAGCUAGUUGGUAAGGUAACGGCUUACCAAGGCAACGAUGCAUAGCCGACCUGAGAGGGUGAUCGGCCACACUGGAACUGAGACACGGUCCAGACUCCUACGGGAGGCAGCAGUAGGGAAUCUUCCGCAAUGGGCGAAAGCCUGACGGAGCAACGCCGCGUGAGUGAUGAAGGUCUUCGGAUCGUAAAACUCUAUUAUUAGGGAAGAACAUAUGUGUAAGUAACUGUGCACAUCUUGACGGUACCUAAUCAGAGAGCCACGGCUAACUACGUG
rnacentral:rRNA from 1 species